rnacentral:rRNA from 1 species
UCGAACGAUGAACCACUUCGGUGGGGAUUAGUGGCGAACGGGUGAGUAACACGUGGGCAAUCUGCCCUGCACUCUGGGACAAGCCCUGGAAACGGGGUCUAAUACCGGAUAUGAGCCUGGGAGGCAUCUCCCGGGUUGUAAAGCUCCGGCGGUGCAGGAUGAGCCCGCGGCCUAUCAGCUUGUUGGUGAGGUAAUGGCUCACCAAGGCGACGACGGGUAGCCGGCCUGAGAGGGCGACCGGCCACACUGGGACUGAGACACGGCCCAGACUCCUACGGGAGGCAGCAGUGGGGAAUAUUGCACAAUGGGCGAAAGCCUGAUGCAGCGACGCCGCGUGAGGGAUGACGGCCUUCGGGUUGUAAACCUCUUUCAGCAGGGAAGAAGCGAAAGUGACGGUACCUGCAGAAGAAGCGCCGGCUAACUACGUGCCAGCAGCCGCGGUAAUACGUAGGGCGCAAGCGUUGUCCGGAAUUAUUGGGCGUAAAGAGCUCGUAGGCGGCUUGUCACGUCGAUUGUGAAAGCCCGAGGCUUAACCUCGGGUCUGCAGUCGAUACGGGCUAGCUAGAGUGUGGUAGGGGAGAUCGGAAUUCCUGGUGUAGCGGUGAAAUGCGCAGAUAUCAGGAGGAACACCGGUGGCGAAGGCGGAUCUCUGGGCCAUUACUGACGCUGAGGAGCGAAAGCGUGGGGAGCGAACAGGAUUAGAUACCCUGGUAGUCCACGCCGUAAACGGUGGGAACUAGGUGUUGGCGACAUUCCACGUCGUCGGUGCCGCAGCUAACGCAUUAAGUUCCCCGCCUGGGGAGUACGGC